AUAAGACAUAGUGUCAACAACGACCAACGUUUGUUUCGAAUAUUCUACCCAACAAACUAGAGUCAAUAACCAUAAUUAUGUUUACAUGCUAACAAUUUAAAUUCCAUUUGCGCAAACGAAGUCGCGUACACGAGACAAAACAAAAUAAGACAACUACAUUGCUCAAUUGAUCUUGUAAUUCAAAAGAUGCUAUACAAUUUUCUUUUUCAUGUCUAUAGGUAAAAAAAAAAAAACUCUACACACGCAUUUUGCGUCCCAGUAACGGAGGCAUUCGUGAUUUUGUGCUUUGCGAAUCGUAAUACGAGGCUGAAAAAUGGGGUUCUCUUCAGGCACUCUAGGUGAGCAUUAUUCAGUUGCACUUCUUCGAAGAAAGUCACAGUAGGCGUCAAGUUAGACCUGAAUUAAGAUAUGUAACCACCUUUAUUUCUCGUUCUUUGCGCAACAUUCAUGGCCUCUCUGCAAAUAUAAAAAACCAUAUUUAUUUGUCAAUAAAGAUAAAUGUUUGGAGGAAGAUAAAAAAUUACAGAUACCAUGUAAAUGUAGAAUCAAUAGUUUUUUAUUAAGAAAUUUGAAUAUUUGUAAUUGAUAGAAACCCAUAGAAUAUUAUCACGUUACCCAUAGUAUACCACAGUACUACAUAAAUUAUACAUACAGUUAGACAUACAAAACUCAUUAGCAAUAAACUAACAAAUAAGCAACAUAGGUCAGCCUCUCAAUUAUAUAGAGAAUCAUAUAAUAGCAGCUGUUUCGUAGGUCAGUAACAUAGGUCAGCAAAAAAGAACGAAUCGCACAACAACAUAACUAUAAGUAAAUUUAUACAAUUGUCAUUUCAUAGACUGCUAUAGAAAUACAAUAUCAAUUCAUAGACUACCAUAGGAACUAGGGUUGACAACAAAGUAUCCAAUCAUAGACUCCCAUAAAAAUACAACAUCAAUUCAUAGUUACGAAUGCAUAUAGAGCUCACAUACACAAUUCAUUGACAAUAAACUUACGAAUAAACAAGAUAAGCCGGUCUAUCAAUAACAUAGACAAUCAUAUAAUAGCAAAUGUUUAAUAAGUCAUCAACAUAACUAACAUAAAAUUUCUACAAUUGUCAUUUUGUAAUCUACUGUAGAAAUACAUUAUCAGUCCAUGGACUACCAUAGAGAUAUAAUUGUGUUUUUACAGACUAUCAUAGAAAUAUACAGUCUGUGUACACCAACUAUCAAUAAUCACACAAAUCUAAACAUUAACAUGAUAUACAACAGCACUUACACGUCAUGAAACAUUGCAGAAUCCAGACUUCGAUUGCCAAAUAACGAAUUACAAAUUCAAAGCACAAAAAUAUUUACACGCCUAAACAAUUUUUUCGUGUGUGGAAUUCAUAGUUACCCAAAGAUUUAGACAACAACAAACAACAAAAUAUACAUGUUUUGAAUCGUACCUGCGUCUAGUGCAUAUAUGUCCGGCUGCCUCUUCAUCUGCAUCUCCCCUGCGUAUUCAAUUUUGUAAAAACCCUAAUUUAAAAAAAAAAAACUAAAAUCAAACAAAAUUAAAACUUACUUGAUCUGUUUCUUGGUGUAACAUCCGUAGACGUUAAUGGUGCCGAUAAUUUGAUUUUUUAUGAUGCUAUGAGGAUGCCGCCUUCAAUUUGCAGUAGAGAAAGAGAGGAAAUAUACCCUAAUCUGGGGGAGUGGAGGGGUGGGUGGGUUGAAUUAUGAUACGGUUAAUGUAGGAUUUGGAAAAAUAGAAUCUUAGAGAUUUAAUGGCGAGAUUGGUGGGAUUUAAUUUCCUUUUCCCAGACUUAAAAAAUAAACGGCGUUUAUUUCACCGUAAGGGUAAUAUAGACACAAUUUCUCAAAAGGAUGUGAAGCUAAUGUUUUUAUAGGCUUGGGUGUGUCAUCUAAUAAAUUUUUCCACUAGGGAUGCAUAUCUUAAAGCCCCU
rnacentral:lncRNA from 1 species